UGUUGAAUGAAUGAAUUUAUAAGAUGC
rnacentral:piRNA from 2 species